CCUGGUCAUUCCUGACUUUUUGUUCUCCCAUCUAAACUUUAGAAUUUUUUUCUAGUUCCAUUUGAAAAAAAAAAAAAAGCAUUCACUCAAGUGAAAAUGCACGAACUCUAAAAUUAAUGGGAAGAAUGACCAUCUUUAUAAUACAUGUCACAACAAUCUUGAGACUUUGAACAGCACGUGUCUCACACUCCUGUAUAUAUUUACCCAGCAUUAUAUCUUACUAGUGCACUUUGGAACUGUUCCCAUCUCCAGAUACAAUUAGAGGAAAGCACUGACCCCAUCCCAAGUCAAGCCUUGAGCCUGCAGAUUCCUGAUGGUAGGAGUGAGGGUCCUGCCCUCAGGACCCGCUGGAGGGUAGAACAGGUGGGUUGAUGUCUGCUAUAUUUCCUCUUGGGCCAACGCACUUCAGUAAAUGGUCUCUAUUUUAGAAGCCCAAAUAUCAAGAGGACUUUAGAGGACUGGACUAGGAUAUCCUGAGACUCAAAGCAUUAACAAGAUCAUGAUGCCCAUUGCCAUAAGUAAUUUAAAAGAUUUGUUUUUCAAUGACACAAAACCUCAUGUAUGCUGUGAUCUAGCUAUUCUAAUUUGGGGAACUUUCUGACAUUACUAAAAACCAAACUUCUUUGUAUUUUAGUGAAUUUCUGUGUAUCCAUUUGGGGGUGGGAGGGCUUGUUUUUCUCUUUUCUUUACAUAUUUAGCCCUCCUGUGGGGUAUUCUACCUAUAUGCAGAUUAGAAAACAACCAAGGAAAGCUAGAUUUUCUUUUUCUACCUGGGUCUCUGACUGACCUAACCAGUUGCAUCUAUUUCAGAAUGGAAACAAUUUGUACCAACAACAAACCUUAAUUAAUAAAUCCAAAAUAGAUAAAGUUUCAUAUGCUGUGCUUUGGAAAAUAACUUAUUUCUGAAUGUGAGUCAUUCUAAGAACAAACUCUAAUUGAUCAUGUAAAUUCAGCCUAUACAAAUUUGUGUUAAAUAUCAUUACUUAAUAAACUUCUUAACCACCUUCCUGAUUUUGAGCCUGCUUUCAAAUUUUAAUUAGAUGUAAUGAUCAGACAGUUAUAAAAUGCUAACAUUCAAAGAGGAAUUGAUGUACAUAGUUUUCACCCUAAUAUUUGGGACCUGCCAUUCUGGAUUCCAAAUGUAACCUGUGCAUGGUUUCUUAGGACUCACUGGGUGUGUAUCGUCUAAGGACUCUAAACGUAAUGCAUGUAAUAGUUACAUUCAUAGGAUGGCUAUGUAAUUUUAUUAACCAAACUAGUAAGCUUCAAAAUGCAAACUAUAAUACAUACAAGUUGUAGCCUGUAGUUGUUUCCAGAAUCAGACUUUUAAAGUUAAAAUUCUCAUUGUUUUUAAUUCAGAUAUCUUUUACUCUGGACUAAGAGGCAAUCCUCCCCAUUCUUGGUGUUUAACAGGAGGCAGCGACUUUAGAAUUCUCUCCCAUUUCAAGUGCCCACAAAACUGCUAUUGCUGCUUACAAAAGUUGUGCAUAAGCCUGGAUACAAAACAAACCCUAUGGGGAAAGAAAAAAAAAAACGGGUCGAUGAAUUCACCCAAGUGCAAAUUACCUCAAGAUUCAUUUUUCCCUUUUUGUAGAACUAACAAGUGAAUCUUACUGAGUUGGGACCAAAGAAACCCACUGAAGUGAGCCUUUAAGAGACAUUUGUGCUGGUGAUGACAGCAUUUUCAUGGUAAUUUGUUAAUGUUCUUGCAAAGCAGGGGUAAUUUACUCCAGUAAAAUCUAGCUAAUAGCCUUGUAGAUUUGAGGCCUUCAACCAAGGGCCACAUGCAGGCCUUGGGCGGCCUAGUGCCUGUAGGACUGCAUAACCACCAGAAGAUCUCACACCUGACCUCCUGGCUCACACCUGACCUCCUGGCUGACUCCCUUUCUCAGCCUCACACCACCGUCACAUCUCAGAUCCAGUUCCCAGUAUGGGACGUCCAAUUGGUGUUAAAGGGAGCAGGGAGCUUGGGAAGGGGCAGGGCAGAAGGCACAGCAUUUGUGAGUGUUAAACUCAGGAAGGCAUGAACCUUCAAGCUCUCUUUUUUGGAGGCAGGCUUUAACACAAAGAAAAGAAAAUGAUGUGUAAAAACAUACAUCAAUAUCAUUCAUUUUCUUUUCUGAUUAUAAAAAUAAUACACAUUCAUUAUAGAUUUUUGAAAAACAGAAAGACCUCCAAAUGGGGACAAAAGCACCAAUAAUUGUAUCUAGACAUCUUGAUGCAGUUCCUGCCAGUUUUUCUCCAUGCAGACUUUAAUUACUUUAUGCAAAUUUAUUGUGUAUGAAUACUUUUUUAAGAAAAUCUGAUUUUUUGGCCACAUAAUAUCACUAUUUGUAUGCACUGUAAGUUAUAAAAUGUUUCCAUUAUUAGACAAUAUAGGUGAUUUCCAUUAUUGCAUAACUAUAAAUAACAUAGCAGUGAACAUCCUUAUACAGAAAUCUUGGUCUCCCACUCUAAUUAGGUUUUUAAGAUAGAUUCUCAGAAGGGAUAAGUGGAAUCAACGGGCAUGGAUGUUUCAACAUAUUUGAUACAUAAAAUCAAGUCAAAUUGCUCUGCAGAAAAGCCACAUCGAUUAGACAGUGUGUUCAGCCACGUGGUAGGAGAGGCCUUUAUUAAUGCACUUUCACCAACAUUGAGUUUUUAAUCUGUGCUAAUUUGACUGGUAAAAUGACAGAUCGAAAGUCACAUUUUCAGUUUAUGUGUACAAAAGUUAUUAUAUAUAGCUCAGUUUGCUCAUAAAAUUAACAUAUUUGGGCCAUUUAGAAAGCCAUAAAAUGAGUCACUGAAUACCAAAAGUGACUUCAAAGAGCAUGGAAUAUACUGAAGGCGAAAUUGUUUGCCCAGGCCACUCUGUAGUGAUGAACUCAGGACUAAAACCCAAGAAUUCUAUUUCCCAUCCCAGCGUUCCUAAGAAGAGAUUUUUAGUAAGAUAGAACCUGCUUUAAAAUGCAGAAAGAAUGGAGAGGCGGAGGAGACUUUUAACUGUGGUUUGAUAAAGCUGUUUUCCUCACUAAUUUUUCAAUGCUUUCACACUGUCCGAGGCUGGUGGUCCUGACAUCUGGCAGCUUUUUAACCUUAACUUUUGGAGGGGAAAAGUCAAGAAAUACAAAGUUGUUUCAGAAUUAACCAAAGCAAAGUAUCACUAGGAAGCUCAGUCCAUUCCGAAGAUAUCUCAAGAGACCAUCUAUAAUAAAAUAUAAAUGACUCCUCGUGGUCUCUACCCGAGUUGUCUGUGAUUCAUUCAUGGUGAGAACAUGAAGGUAUAAAGGCCACAACUAAAGAUUUUGCUUGUUACCACGCCUUUAAAACUUCCUUUUUAAUUUUUUACAUGCAAUUCUCAAUUCUUCCCAAUGAGAGAAAGGAUCUUUGUCCCCUCCCCUUGAAUCUGGGCAGGUUUGUGACUGCUUUGACCAAUAGAGUAUGGAAGUGGUGCUAUGUGAUUUCCGAGUCUAGGUGAUAAAAGGCAAUGCAUCUUCCUCCUUCUCUUUUGGGAACACUUGUUCUUGGAGAUAUUAGCCAACCUGUGAGAAGCACCAAUACCCUGAGGCCAUUAUGAGGAAGUUCACACCACAGAGAGAGACCCUGAGUAGAUGUGCUGAUUUACAGUUCCAGCUGAAUGCAGCCUUUGAAUCACCCCAGCCCAGGUGCCAAACAUGUGAGAGAAGAAGCUUCCAGAUCAUUCCAGUCCCCAGCCAUCUGAGUCAACUUCAGCCUUUGUGUCUGCCCAGUGAAUGCCUCAGACAUCAUGAAGCAGAAGCAAGUCAUCCUUACUGUGCUCUGUCUGAAUUCCUGACUCACACAAUUAAUGAGCAUAAUAAAAUGAUUGUUGUUUUAUACUCCUGUGUUCUGGGGCAUUUGUUGUGCAGCAAAAAAG
rnacentral:lncRNA from 1 species